rnacentral:rRNA from 1 species
GACGAACCGUGCAAGCGUUGUUCGGAAUCACUGGGCUUAAAGGGCGCGUAGGCGGGCCAGCCAGUCUGUGGUGAAAGCCUCCAGCUUAACUGGAGAAGUGCCGUGGAUACUGCUGGCCUCGAGGAGGGUAGGGGCAUCUGGAACGGUCGGUGGAGCGGUGAAAUGCGUUGAUAUCGACCGGAACUCCGGUGGCGAAGGCGAGGUGCUGGGCCCUUUCUGACGCUGAUGCGCGAAAGCCAGGGGAGCAAACGGG